GGGUUGUGAGGUUAAGCGACUAAGCGUACACGGUGGAUGCCCUGGCAGUCAGAGGCGAUGAAGGACGUGCUAAUCUGCGAAAAGCGUCGGUAAGGUGAUAUGAACCGUUACAGCCGGCGAUGUCCGAAUGGGGAAACCCAGUGCAAUUCGUUGCACUAUCGUUAACUGAAUACAUAGGUUAACGAGGCGAACCGGGGGAACUGAAACAUCUAAGUACCCCGAGGAAAAGAAAUCAACCGAGAUUCCCCCAGUAGCGGCGAGCGAACGGGGAGCAGCCCAGAGUCUGAAUCAGCUUGUGUGUUAGUGGAACGGUCUGGAAAGUCCGACGGUACAGGGUGAUAGUCCCGUACACCAAAAUGCACAGGUUGUGAACUCGAAGAGUAGGGCGGGACACGUGGUAUCCUGUCUGAAUAUGGGGGGACCAUCCUCCAAGGCUAAAUACUCCUGACUGACCGAUAGUGAACCAGUACCGUGAGGGAAAGGCGAAAAGAACCCCGGCGAGGGGAGUGAAAAAGAACCUGAAACCGUGUACGUACAAGCAGUGGGAGCACCUUCGGGUGUGACUGCGUACCUUUUGUAUAAUGGGUCAGCGACUUAUAUUCUGUAGCAAGGUUAACCGUAUAGGGGAGCCGCAGGGAAACCGAGUCUUAACUGGGCGUUAAGUUGCAGGGUAUAGACCCGAAACCCGGUGAUCUAGCCAUGGGCAGGUUGAAGGUUGGGUAACACUAACUGGAGGACCGAACCGACUAAUGUUGAAAAAUUAGCGGAUGACUUGUGGCUGGGGGUGAAAGGCCAAUCAAACCGGGAGAUAGCUGGUUCUCCCCGAAAGCUAUUUAGGUAGCGCCUCGUGAAUUCAUCUUCGGGGGUAGAGCACUGUUUCGGCUAGGGGGUCAUCCCGACUUACCAACCCGAUGCAAACUACGAAUACCGAAGAAUGUUAUCACGGGAGACACACGGCGGGUGCUAACGUCCGUCGUGAAGAGGGAAACAACCCAGACCGCCAGCUAAGGUCCCAAAGUCACAGUUAAGUGGGAAACGAUGUGGGAAGGCACAGACAGCCAGGAUGUUGGCUUAGAAGCAGCCAUCAUUUAAAGAAAGCGUAAUAGCUCACUGGUCGAGUCGGCCUGCGCGGAAGAUGUAACGGGGCUAAACUGUGCACCGAAGCUGCGGCAGCGACACUAUGUGUUGUUGGGUAGGGGAGCGUUCUGUAAGCCUGCGAAGGUGGCCUGUGAGGGUUGCUGGAGGUAUCAGAAGUGCGAAUGCUGACAUAAGUAACGAUAAUGCGGGUGAAAAGCCCGCACGCCGGAAGACCAAGGGUUCCUGUCCAACGUUAAUCGGGGCAGGGUGAGUCGACCCCUAAGGCGAGGCCGAAAGGCGUAGUCGAUGGGAAACAGGUUAAUAUUCCUGUACUUGGUGUUACUGCGAAGGGGGGACGGAGAAGGCUAUGUUAGCCGGGCGACGGUUGUCCCGGUUUAAGCAUGUAGGCGGAGGUUCCAGGUAAAUCCGGUACCUUAUUAACGCUGAGGUGUGAUGACGAGGCACUACGGUGCUGAAGUAACAAAUGCCCUGCUUCCAGGAAAAGCCUCUAAGCAUCAGGUAACAUUAAAUCGUACCCCAAACCGACACAGGUGGUCAGGUAGAGAAUACCAAGGCGCUUGAGAGAACUCGGGUGAAGGAACUAGGCAAAAUGGUGCCGUAACUUCGGGAGAAGGCACGCUGAUAUGUAGGUGAAGCCCCUGCGGGUGGAGCUGAAAUCAGUCGAAGAUACCAGCUGGCUGCAACUGUUUAUUAAAAACACAGCACUGUGCAAACACGAAAGUGGACGUAUACGGUGUGACGCCUGCCCGGUGCCGGAAGGUUAAUUGAUGGGGUUAUCCGUAAGGAGAAGCUCUUGAUCGAAGCCCCGGUAAACGGCGGCCGUAACUAUAACGGUCCUAAGGUAGCGAAAUUCCUUGUCGGGUAAGUUCCGACCUGCACGAAUGGCGUAAUGAUGGCCAGGCUGUCUCCACCCGAGACUCAGUGAAAUUGAACUCGCUGUGAAGAUGCAGUGUACCCGCGGCAAGACGGAAAGACCCCGUGAACCUUUACUAUAGCUUGACACUGAACAUUGAGCCUUGAUGUGUAGGAUAGGUGGGAGGCUUUGAAGCGUGGACGCCAGUCUGCGUGGAGCCAACCUUGAAAUACCACCCUUUAAUGUUUGAUGUUCUAACGUUGGCCCCUAAUCGGGGUUGCGGACAGUGUCUGGUGGGUAGUUUGACUGGGGCGGUCUCCUCCCAAAGAGUAACGGAGGAGCACGAAGGUUAGCUAAUCCUGGUCGGACAUCAGGAGGUUAGUGCAAUGGCAUAAGCUAGCUUGACUGCGAGCGUGACGGCGCGAGCAGGUGCGAAAGCAGGUCAUAGUGAUCCGGUGGUUCUGAAUGGAAGGGCCAUCGCUCAACGGAUAAAAGGUACUCCGGGGAUAACAGGCUGAUACCGCCCAAGAGUUCAUAUCGACGGCGGUGUUUGGCACCUCGAUGUCGGCUCAUCACAUCCUGGGGCUGAAGUAGGUCCCAAGGGUAUGGCUGUUCGCCAUUUAAAGUGGUACGCGAGCUGGGUUUAGAACGUCGUGAGACAGUUCGGUCCCUAUCUGCCGUGGGCGCUGGAGAAUUGAGGGGGGCUGCUCCUAGUACGAGAGGACCGGAGUGGACGCAUCACUGGUGUUCGGGUUGUCAUGCCAAUGGCAUUGCCCGGUAGCUAAAUGCGGAAGAGAUAAGUGCUGAAAGCAUCUAAGCACGAAACUUGCCCCGAGAUGAGUUCUCCCUGAGACUUUAAGUCUCCUGAAGGAACGUUAAAGACGAUGACGUUGAUAGGUCGGGUGUGUAAGCGUAGCGAUACGUUGAGCUAACCGAUACUAAUGAACCGUGAGGCUUAACCUUACAACGCCGAAG
rnacentral:rRNA from 1 species